CAAUGGUGUCAUACGCGGUAAAUCAUCUGUUUGAAGCAUGUCUCUAUUUACUUUUUAAUUUUAAAACGUAUAUUGUUUUAAAAGAAGUCACUUGAACACUGGGAAACACAGGGUGGAGACUCUUUACUGUUAUUAGGAUCAACGCUAAAGCAACCGUCUGUCGUCUCAGUAUGAGAUAAUUGGAAUUUUUCUUGGACUACGUCACUAUGAGUUACAACCGCGCUAUUUAAACAUGGCGCGGACAGCAAACACAUCGUUCCAUUACGUCGAUGUUUCCGUAUCCGAUGUGCUGAUACGCCGGCGCACUUGAUUGGCACCAAGAUGUAGAUUUGAAAUAUGUGUUCAGUAGUUAUGCAUACCAAAUAAUGGCUCCACGUGUUUAAUCACUAGAAACUUAUUUAAUGUCAAAUUAUUUACUAGUUAUUAAGUUUUCAUUACUUACCUUGCAACAUAGUAAUAUAUUAACAAGCAUUACACUUAAUGUAAUACAGUACCAGAAGAAUAAAGAUUGUGGCAGAAUAUAAUGGAAUUUUUAUUAUUUAAUAUCAUUUGAUGUUAUGUAUGUACAUUAUUAUACACAUAUUAUAAAAUUUUUAAAAACAAGUAACAUAUCUUUAAUUAUUAAGCUGUUAUACCUCUUCUUAUAAAUAAUGUUGUUAGUUAUAGACAAAUACAGUUUCUUCAUAAAUAAAAUUAUAGUUUUUUUAAGAGACUUACAAAGAAUGAUACGGAUUUCGUAAUUUAUUUUGUAAUACAUUUAAUUAAUUAUAUAUAUCUGAAAAAUAAUAAGGACAAUUUUAGACAAAAUAUCAUAAGAGUCAUAAUUUAUAUUUAGUCGCAACUGUUUUUGCAAGAAAUGUAUCCGUAAUACUGAGCUAUAAGAAUAUUUAUUUUAUAUCCUAAAUUUUUAGUUAAUACCUUCAUAGCUUCAUAUAGAUGGAUAAUGUGUACUUAGGUAAAAAUGUUUAUGAAAGAAUGAAAUGACGUGUACGUUAUUUUAAACAUAUAAUAUAUUCAUUUGUAUGCUUGUACAUAUCUCGCAUUCUUUUAUACAACAAAAUAUCUAUGACAACAGUACAGUAGAGAACGGUAUACAAUAUAUAGUUGUAUCAAUAAUUCAUUCAUAAAUAUGAGAUGCAAGACAGCCUCGUUCUCUUAAGACAUAACGUUAUCGGGUCGUGAUUGCAUAAAAUACAUAUAAGUAUGUACUCAUCUUGAUUAUUCUGAUGUCCAGUCUUUCGGUAGAACUUUUGCAUCGGUUUACUCCGCGUCUAGUGGAUUCGAUUUUUUUUUUAUUAUUUAUUAAAUCGUUCUUAAACUCGAAAAACAAAUAUAUAUUGUUAUUAUUCGAUAUAAUCCUUAACACCACGGUAAAGAAUGGUUUUUUUUCUAAUACUGUUAGACCUUUGUAAUUAGUGAUAAAAAGAAGAAAGUAAUCGAUAAAAUAAUAAUAAUCGUGCGUGACUUUCAUGACAGUUACACUUACGAUUAGACGUAAAUCUAUAUUUUUUGUAAAGGAACAUGACGAUCUGUGCGAUUUUCGCUCUUAAACGAAAGCGAGAGAACUGCGUAUUACUUCUUAAACAAGUACUUUCGGCUAUAAUACGAAUGUUGUAAAGUAGGCCAAUCGGUUCGUGCUCCCUUCGUACUGAAAAUGGCGAACCGGCGAACCGGCGAACCGAACGCUUUCGCAAAUAUCGUGGAGCGACUUCGUCCGUUUAAAUCUUUAACAAGAGAGAAUAUCCGUUAGUGAAAAAAUAUGCUAUUUACAUGUAAGGUAUCUAGUUGUGCGUCGAUUCAUUAAUUCGCCGUUGGAGUGUAUCAAAAUCUACUUAAAGGGAUGAACGAUCCAUGCAGUCGUUUAUUUUCAUAAAUCUUUUUUUUCAUAAAUCGUUUUUCUAAAUGUAAACAUGCGUGUACAGUUCCGGCCAGAAAA